CCAGUAUGUACCAGUUCUCGUACAAUCACCAUAGUUAAGCAAUGUCAAGUCAGCUCAGUACCUAGAUGGGUGACUGCUUGGGAAUACCAGGUGCUGUAAG
rnacentral:rRNA from 1 species